CCUACGGGUGGCAGCAGUGAGGAAUAUUGGUCAAUGGGCGCGAGCCUGAACCAGCCAAGUAGCGUGAAGGAUGACUGCCCUACGGGUUGUAAACUUCUUUUAUAAAGGAAUAAAGUGAGGCACGUGUGCCUUUUUGUAUGUACUUUAUGAAUAAGGAUCGGCUAACUCCGUGCCAGCAGCCGCGGUAAUAAGGAGGAUCCGAGCGUUAUCCGGAUUUAUUGGGUUUAACGGGAGCGUAGAUGGGUUGUUAAGUCAGUUGUGAAAGUUUGCGGCUCAAACGGAAAAUUGCAAUUGAUACUGGCAGUCUUGAGUACAGUUGAGGUAGGUGGAAUUCGUGGUGUAGCGGUGAAAUGCUUAGAUAUCACGAAGAACUCCGAUUGCGAAGGCAACUUACUAAACUGCCACUGACAUUGAUGCUCGAAAGUGUGGGUAGCAAACAGGAUUAGAUACCCGAGUAGUC
rnacentral:rRNA from 1 species